AACGCAUCUUGCACUCUCGAAUCACUAUCGAGAGUAUGCCUGUUUGAGUGUCGCGAAACUCUCAACCCCGCCUCAUGCUUUAUUGCGUGUGGGUAGCUUGGGCUUGGAUCAUGAUCUUUGCAGUAAUGCGCUAGCAGAACUGCUGGAUUGAAAUACAACAAGCUGAAUCUAUAUACUUGCGGCUUGACCUGUCGUUGUAAGCACACAAAUGCAUUCGAUGGGGACGCGAGAAAAUGGAAUGAGCUUUCCAAAUGUGUUACACUUUGCAGCUUCUAUUAACUUAGAGCUCUUAGUGCAUUCUGACCUCAAAUCAGGUAGGAUUACCCGCUGAACUUAA
rnacentral:misc_RNA from 1 species